UAUAAAAUGUGGAAAUUUAUCCAUAUUUCCUCCUUUAAGGAACAAAAGGAGUUCUCCCCUGAGGACUUGAGUUUUUGAGUUUUCUCCAAAGACAGAGGUCCAGACAGUUGGAGAAAGCAGAAGACGCACACAUGAAGGAAUUGCCCUUAUCAGCUUAACAUCAGGAUAGUUGAGGAUCAUUUCACCAGAAAGACCAAGGAUCAGCAAGAUCAGAGGGUUGGAACUUCCAGUCUCACCCCUUCUCCUGCAAAGAAGAGGAAGAGCUGAAGGCUAG